GAGAGUUAAACAGUACGUGAAAUUGUUGAAAGGGAAACGAUUGAAGCCAGUCGUACCUUCGGGUAAUCAGCCUUUCGGGUGCGAUUCUGUGGGGUGUGAAGAGUUAAACGCCUUCACGUUUUGCAUAUUCGUGCUCUUGGGUGUACUUGCCCGUGUGGUUGGUUAACAUCAAUUUUGGACGCCAUAAAAUGACUGGAGGAAUGUAGCUUCGAUCUCGUAUUGAAGUGUUAUAGCCUUCGGUAUAUGUGGUUUUCGAGAUUGAGGAUUGCAACGGAUACCCUUCGGGGCUACCUAUCUGAUCUCUGAUCGUUGCUCUGGUGCCGAAAGCUUGCUUACGGUUAUCAAAGUCGAUGGUCAAUAUGUUAGAAUGGGUUAAAUUCGUUAAGGAUGUUGAUGUAAUGGCUUUAAACGA
rnacentral:rRNA from 1 species